rnacentral:rRNA from 1 species
GAUGAACGCUGGCGGCGUGCUUAACACAUGCAAGUCGAACGGAAAGGCUCCUGCUUGCUGGGGUACUCGAGUGGCGAACGGGUGAGUAACACGUGGGUGAUCUGCCCUGCACUUCGGGAUAAGCCUGGGAAACUGGGUCUAAUACCGGAUAGGACGAUGGUUUGGAUGCCAUUGUGGAAAGUUUUUUCGGUGUGGGAUGAGCUUGCGGCCUAUCAGCUUGUUGGUGGGGUAAUGGCCUACCAAGGCGUCGACGGGUAGCCGGCCUGAGAGGGUGUACGGCCACAUUGGGACUGAGAUACGGCCCAGACUCCUACGGGAGGCAGCAGUGGGGAAUAUUGCACAAUGGGCGCAAGCCUGAUGCAGCGACGCCGCGUGGGGGAUGACGGCCUUCGGGUUGUAAACUCCUUUCGCUAGGGACGAAGCGCAAGUGACGGUACCUGGAGAAGAAGCACCGGCUAACUACGUG